GAGAAUAGCUUGCUAUUUUGCUGACGAGUGGCGCACGGGUGAGUAACGCGUAUACAAUCUACCUUUUACAGGGGGAUAGCCUUUAGAAAUGAAGAUUAAUAUCCCAUAGUAAUUUAUUAUUGCAUGAUAGUAAAUUUAAAGUUUCGGCGGUAAAAGAUGAGUAUGCGUUCUAUUAGUUAGUUGGUAAGGUAACGGCUUACCAAGACAACGAUAGAUAGGGGCCCUGAGAGGGGGAUCCCCCACACUGGUACUGAGACACGGACCAGACUCCUACGGGAGGCAGCAGUGAGGAAUAUUGGACAAUGGGCGAGAGCCUGAUCCAGCCAUGCCGCGUGCAGGAAGACUGCCCUAUGGGUUGUAAACUGCUUUUAUACAGGAAGAAACCUCAGAACGUGUUCUGAGCUGACGGUACUGUAAGAAUAAGGAUCGGCUAACUCCGUGCCAGCAGCCGCGGUAAUACGGAGGAUCCAAGCGUUAUCCGGAAUCAUUGGGUUUAAAGGGUCCGUAGGUGGAUAAUUAAGUCAGGGGUGAAAGUUUGCAGCUCAACUGUAAAAUUGCCUUUGAUACUGGUUAUCUUGAAUUAUUGUGAAGUGGUUAGAAUAUGUAGUGUAGCGGUGAAAUGCAUAGAUAUUACAUAGAAUACCAAUUGCGAAGGCAGAUCACUAACAAUAUAUUGACACUGAUGGACGAAAGCGUGGGGAGCGAACAGG
rnacentral:rRNA from 1 species